GACGAACGCUGGCGGCGUGCUUAACACAUGCAAGUCGAACGGAAAGGCCCUGCUUUUGUGGGGUGCUCGAGUGGCGAACGGGUGAGUAACACGUGAGUAACCUGCCCUUGACUUUGGGAUAACUUCAGGAAACUGGGGCUAAUACCGGAUAGGAUCUCCUGCUGCAUGGUGGGGGUUGGAAAGUUUCGGCGGUUGGGGAUGGACUCGCGGCUUAUCAGCUUGUUGGUUGGGUAGUGGCUUACCAAGGCUUUGACGGGUAGCCGGCCUGAGAGGGUGACCGGCCACAUUGGGACUGAGAUACGGCCCAGACUCCUACGGGAGGCAGCAGUGGGGAAUAUUGCACAAUGGGCGGAAGCCUGAUGCAGAAACGCCGCGUGCGGGAUGACGGCCUUCGGGGUGUAAACCGCUUUCGCCUGUGACGACGCGUGAGUGACGGUAAUGGGUAAAGAAGCACCGGCUAACUACGUG
rnacentral:rRNA from 1 species